CAGGAAUCGAUUAGACAUUUUGGGAUUAUAUAGCACAAAAAGGAUAAGGGCACAAGAAGGUCUUGGUGGCCUAUGAUGAAAAUAUUCUGCCUUUCUCUCUUCAGUGUUGAAGGGCUCAUUCUUCAUCCCUUUGACCUUCAGUGCCGACUUGUCCCCAUCACCUUCCUUAGUGGUGUAUGCCAUCUUCCCCAACGGAGGGGUCACAGCUGACAGCAUCCGUUUGGAUGUUGCCUUGUGCUUCCAAAACCAGGUCAGGGUAGGAUUCCCAGAUAAAGAAGCCCAUGCAGGGUCAGCAGUGCAGCUGCAGCUGCAGGCAGCACCUGGCUCCCUGUGUGCAGUCCAGGCAGUGGAUGAAAACAUGUUCUUCACCAGACCAGACCGUGAGCUGACCAGCCAAAUGGUGAGUGUCUGUGCAACCAGGCAAGACCUCGGGAGCGAUGGAUGAGCUGGGCAAGGGGCUGUGGCAAGGAGAGCUGGAGGCCAAUGAAUGAGGAGGUCUGUGAGUGAAGGAGAAAGCAGGGCCUGCCUAGGAAGAAGGACAGGAACUGAUGUGCUUGCUAGGGGACGAUGGAGAGAAGCAUCUGGAGGUACCUUCUCCUUGCCCAAUCCUUCCCUCCCUGUGAGUUUCCCUAGGUCUAUGGUUUGUUCCCUGCUGCCUACCAACGUGGAUACCCUGCCCAAGUAGAAGAGCAUUCAGAUCGCUGUGUGCAGCCCCAGUCCAUGUCAUCUCUGCUACGAGGAAGGCCACAGAAUUCCUUUCAGCCUGACAUCUUCAACCUCUUCCGGAACAUGGGUCUGAAAGUCUUCUCAAACCUUGUAAUCAAGAAGCCCUCUCCAUGCCCUCGUCGAGCGGAUAGGAGGCCAGUCAUAGGUGAGCACUUUGAGCCUAUCUGGGACAUGAGAUCACAUCAGGUGGCAGAGCCCUCUGAUCUUUGGGGUUUGCUGGUGGUGGAUAUUGCCUCUUUUAGGAGUAUCA
rnacentral:lncRNA from 1 species